AACGAACGCUGGCGGCAUGCCUAACACAUGCAAGUCGAACGAGACCUUCGGGUCUAGUGGCGCACGGGUGCGUAACGCGUGGGAACCUGCCCUUAGGUUCGGAAUAACUCCCCGAAAGGUGUGCUAAUACCGGAUAAUGUCUUCGGACCAAAGAUUUAUCGCCUUUGGAUGGGCCCGCGUUGGAUUCGCUAGUUGGUAGGGUAAAAGCCUACCAAGGCGACGAUCCAUAGCUGGUCUGAGAGGAUGAUCAGCCACACUGGGACUGAGACACGGCCCAGAAUCCUACGGGAGGGAGCAGUGGGGAAUAUUGGACAAUGGGCGAAAGCCUGAUCCAGCAAUGCCGCGUGAGUGAUGAAGGCCUUAGGGUUGUAAAGCUCUUUUACCCGGGAUGAUAAUGACAGUACCGGGAGAAUAAGCUCCGGCUAACUCCGUG
rnacentral:rRNA from 1 species